CCUACGGGUGGCAGCAGUGAGGAAUAUUGGUCAAUGGUCGGGAGACUGAACCAGCCAAGCCGCGUGAGGGAGGAAGGUACAGAGUAUCGUAAACCUCUUUUGUCAGGGAACAAAGGCGGGGACGUGUCCCCGGAUGAGUGUACCUGAAGAAAAAGCAUCGGCUAACUCCGUGCCAGCAGCCGCGGUAAUACGGAGGAUGCGCGCGUUAUCCGGAUUUAUGGGGUUUAAAGGGUGCGCAGGCGGUCUGUUAAGUCAGCGGUCAAAGCCCGGGGCUCAACCCCGGCCCGCCGUUGAAACUGGCAGUCUCGAGUUGGAGAGAAGUAUGCGGAAUGCGCGGUGUAGCGGUGAAAUGCAUAGAUAUCGCGCAGAACUCCGAUUGCGAAGGCAGCAUGCCGGCUCCACACUGACGCUGAGGCACGAAAGCGUGGGUAUCGAACAGGAGUAGAUACCCUAGUAGUC
rnacentral:rRNA from 1 species